UAUUGUAUUUUGUUUGAGAUAAAUUUUUUCCAGCUGUCUUUGUUCUUUUAACAGUUUCCCGAUUUGUUCGGUGGGGACUCAUCAGUUUCCUCUUUGGGCGUUAUGCGAUCUUCCCUGCCAGUUUGUUCAAUGUUUUCCUCAAAUAAGAAAUCGUUGCCAAAUGGGCCUCUUUCCAGGACGUCGCGUCCCAACGUUGACCAAUAUAUCUGAACCAUUGUGUACUGUCUUCACCGUUGUCAGUCCUGUCACAUUUCCGUUCUUUCGUUCACGCUUUCUUGAAAAUCGAAAUUUACCAAUUUUUUUUCUUCAUUACCCUUUGUUACUUUAUACGAGGCCUGAUCCGUUUUGACCAGCCCCAUUUUCCAUAUGGUUUUGUUAUUUAAUUACUUUAUCCAUGUACCAAGAUGUGCAAAUGCUCGCCGAGGAAGGCCGUUCUUGUGUUACUUUUCGUAUUGGGAUUCUUGGUCAUAGCAAUCCUUAUUGUCAUCGCUUUUCUGGGCUUGUUUUCCCCUGCCGCCGGAAGUUCAACUGAAGGUUUCGACGAGGAUUUUACCGAGCUGCCGUUUCUACUCCCGAGCUUUUCGACAUUCAACAAUAAUAUGAGCAAAAGCUAAAUGAGCCGUCCUAUGAUGUAAAUAAAUAAAUAAAAAUAACUUUUUCCAA